rnacentral:rRNA from 1 species
AGUGAACGCUGGCGGUAUGCCUAACACAUGCAAGUCGAACGGCAACACAGUAAGAGCUUGCUCUUACGGGUGGCGAGUGGCGGACGGGUGAGGAAUACAUCGGAAUCUACUUUUUCGUGGGGGACAACGUAGGGAAACUUACGCUAAUACCUCAUACGACCUACGGGUGAAAGCAGGAGAUCUUCGGACCUUGCGCGAUUGAAUGAGCCGAUGCCGGAUUAGCUAGUUGGCGGGGUAAAGGCCCACCAAGGCGACGAUCCGUAGCUGGUCUGAGAGGAUGAUCAGCCACACUGGAACUGAGACACGGUCCAGACUCCUACGGGAGGCAGCAGUGGGGAAUAUUGGACAAUGGGCGCAAGCCUGAUCCAGCCAUACCGCGUGGGUGAAGAAGGCCUUCGGGUUGUAAAGCCCUUUUGUUGGGAAAGAAAAGCAGUAGGUUAAUACCCCGCUGUUCUGACGGUACCCAAAGAAUAAGCACCGGCUAACUUCGUG